rnacentral:tRNA from 1 species
UCAGUGGCCGAGUGGAUAACGCGAUGGCGUUUGAAGCGAAAAGUACUGGGUUCGAGUCCCAGAGUGA